GAUUGUGGAGGCUUGUUUAGUUCCAAGCACCGCUUCGACACUGACAGCCACCGUUCAUUUGCACUGCAGGUCGUUGAGUAUAUGUGGAGUAUCCCGAGAGCCCUCACUGAAGACACGAAGACCCUCAUUGUUUCUCCCAUUGUCAAUAAAACAUACUAUUUCAUUCAUCAAAGCAUAA